UAGGGAAUCUUCCGCAAUGGGCGAAAGCCUGACGGAGCAACGCCGCGUGAGUGAAGACGGCCUUCGGGUUGUAAAGCUCUGUUAUAUGGGACGAACGGGCGUAUGGUCAAUACCCAUACGCCGUGACGGUACCGUAAGAGAAAGCCACGGCUAACUACGAGCCAGCAGCCGCGGUAAUACGUAGGUGGCAAGCGUUGUCCGAAAUCAUUGGGCGUAAAGGGCGCGCAGGCGGUUCGGUAAGUCGGUCUUAAAAGUGCGGGGCUUAACCCCGUGAUGGGAUCGAAACUGCCGGACUGGAGUGUCGGAGAGGAAAGCAGAAUUCCUAGUGUAGCGGUGAAAUGCGUAGAUAUUAGGAGGAAUACCAGUGGCGAAAGCGGCUUUCUGGACGACAACUGACGCUGAGGCGCGAAAGCCAGGGGAGCAAACGGGAUUAGAUACCCCGGUAGUCCUGGCCGUAAACGAUGGAUACUAGGUGUAGGAGGUAUCGACCCCUUCUGUGCCGGAGUUAACGCAAUAAGUAUCCCGCCUGGGGAGUACGGCCGCAAGGUUG
rnacentral:rRNA from 1 species